rnacentral:rRNA from 1 species
AGUCGAGCGGAUGAGAGGAGCUUGCUCCUCGAUUCAGCGGCGGACGGGUGAGUAAUGCCUAGGAAUCUGCCUAGUAGUGGGGGACAACGUUUCGAAAGGAACGCUAAUACCGCAUACGUCCUACGGGAGAAAGUGGGGGAUCUUCGGACCUCACGCUAUUAGAUGAGCCUAGGUCGGAUUAGCUAGUUGGUAGGGUAAAGGCCUACCAAGGCGACGAUCCGUAACUGGUCUGAGAGGAUGAUCAGUCACACUGGAACUGAGACACGGUCCAGACUCCUACGGGAGGCAGCAGUGGGGAAUAUUGGACAAUGGGCGAAAGCCUGAUCCNNCCAUGCCGCGUGUGUGAAGAAGGCCUUCGGGUCGUAAAGCACUUUA